UACAGAGGGGGCAAGCGUUGUUCGGAAUUAUUGGGCGUAAAGGGCGUGUAGGCGGUUUGCUAAGUCAUGUGUGAAAUCCCCCGGCUUAACCCCGGGUCUGCAGUCGAUACGGGCAGGCUAGAGUGUGGUAGGGGAGAUCGGAAUUCCUGGUGUAGCGGUGAAAUGCGCAGAUAUCAGGAGGAACACCGGUGGCGAAGGCGGAUCUCUGGGCCAUUACUGACGCUGAGGAGCGAAAGCGUGGGGAGCGAACAGG
rnacentral:rRNA from 1 species